AAUGCAAACCUGGUGAAACGACGUUGGAAAACAAAUCCUGCUUACACAGAAUCUAAAUGCGAACUGUUUGGCUUUUAUUGUUGUGGUUUUUCGUUUCAAUGGGCUUCGUGUCCUCCAGGAUAUGGAUAUCCGAGUUUUUCAUGCAUGCCGGGUGGACAUUGCUGCCUGGUACCCUGCAUGCGAAAAAGAUACCGAGAUGCAUAAAAUUUGAUAGUAUAGCCAUAGGAAAACCGACAUAUAUCUUCAGGCUUAUGCUAUGCAUGAUGAAUUGAAUUUGUUAA